rnacentral:lncRNA from 1 species
AUGAGAAAAAAAUCCCUUAAUUCAAAAAAAUAAAAAAAUAGAAGACCUUAAAAGUUUAAGAUAACAAUAUUAGAAAGGGGCAAGAAACUUUUGAAAGUACUACAAAAUCUUGAAUCCUAAAUAUGUAGAUCCAAAUUUAAGAAAGUUUAGAAAGCUCCAUAUGAUUAUUUGGGAUUGUGUUUUUAGAUCUAAAAUUCAAACUACGCAUGCAAAACUACAAUCAAUUGAAAUAGAAAUCAAACCUGUUAAAUAGCCUUCAUUGCCUCAUAUCGAACUUUCUUUGAAGAGAGUAGCAUGAGAUAGAGCUUAGUAGAAAAAUGGAGGAAGGAAGUCAUAGGUGGGGUGUGGGAGAGGGGAUGGGGAGAGAGAGAGAGAUAGAACUGCUCUUGGCUAUACCUUUUUUGUUCACUCCCACAUCCCCCCUACCACGUAUAUAGAAGAUUUAUUUCAUUAAUUGUCUUAUUAGUUUAAUUUUACUUUAACGAAACUGCCACUAUUGUCGCCAUCUCUUGUAGGACUACCCACAGAUUGGAGCUCAA